UUCAUUUCGUUGGCACGUCUCCCAUCCACCGCGUGUUAAUUAUGUCUAUCUAUUUAAAACGAGUAUUGUGUUGGGAGCGGACCGGGACGGGCGCGAUCCCGCUCAGUGUUCGGUUACGAAAUAACUAUGAAUUCCACGAAGAAGGAAAUCCCAACCUGCGAAGUGUGUCAACAACCCGCCAACCAAACUUGCGGAGGCUGCAAACUCGUGUACUACUGCUCCAAAGCCCACCAGAAACUAAGUUGGAGGGAAGGCCACAAAUUCAAAUGCUGCGCCUUCAAAAUACAGUACUCCGACACUUAUGGACGACACAUGGUUGCCACCAGAGACAUCAAGCAAGGUGAAAUGAUUCUGAAAGAGAAACCAGCAGCGCUAGGUCCCAAAAUGACGUGCCCGGCUCAGUGUUUGACUUGUGGAAGAAAACUAGAACCAAUAAAGGUCAAGGACACGUACGAUUUCUAUAAAUGCACAUCAUGCAACUGGCCUAUGUGCGGACCGGAGUGUGAAAAAGCCGAUGUGCAUAAAGCAGAAUGCAAAGUUAUGACAGAUAGGAAAUACAAGUGCAACAUUAAAUUCGAGCACCAAGAUAAAGCAGAAGCAGCUUAUUGUGUUAUUGCUCCACUUAGAGUGUUGUUAAUGAAUACCACAAACCCUUUACAGUACGAAAAUGUUAUGGCAUUAGAGUCUCAUUUGGAGGAUCGGAUGAAUACGCCAUUGUACACAGUUCUAAAAGCUAAUCUGGUAACUUUUGUUAUACAAGUCCUCGGACUACCCUUUGAUGAGGAAACGAUAUUGAAAGUGGCCUCGAUAUACGACACCAACUCCUUUGAUGUUAGGUCCCCAGAUGGAUCUAAGAAGUUAAGGGCUAUUUAUGUCACUGCAUCCAUGAUGAACCACAGUUGUACGCCUAACACCCGCCAUAUUAUUAUUGGUGAUGAUUAUCAUGUGGCAUUUAUAGCAACAGUGCCAAUUUCUAAAGGUGAUUUGAUAACGGCUACAUACACCCAAUCUCUAUGGGGUACUCUGGAUAGAAGAAAACAUUUGAGAAGCGCAAAAUGUUUUGACUGUGAAUGUAACAGAUGUAAGGACCCAACUGAACUUGGAUCUUAUUUAGGUAGUAUUUACUGUUCAAUUUGCAAUGGACCUGGAGUGUUUGGUUCAGAGAAACCACCUAUGAUGGUAUCCUCAAACCCAUUGGACGAAGCAGCACCUUGGAAGUGUGAGAAAUGUGACCAUUUUAUACUAAGCAGGCAAAUGUUUUGGGGAAAUAACGCACUGUCUGAGGAACUAAAGAAAUUAAAGAAGGAUGGCCCAAAAGGAUUUGAAGAGUUCAUUCAGAAAUACAGUCAAACCCUACAUCCGAAUAAUCAUUUAGUGGUUCAAGCCAAGUUGGCUUUGGUGAAAAUAUAUGGAAACUUCAAAGGAUACAUGCUAUCAGAACUCUCAGACAACUUACUUCAGCGCAAGAUAGAGCUAUGCCAUGAUCUUCUGGAGCUAGCAGACAAGCUGGAGCCAGGCUGGACCAAGUUCCGUGGGACACUUCUGUUGGAUUUACAGGCAGCCCUAACAGUCCAAACUAAACGAGAGUUUGAAGCAGAGAAAAUAACCAAGGCUGGUGCUCAGGACCAGCUCAUGGAAAGUAUGGUGUUGCUGCAAGAAGCUGCCAACAUCCUACGAGUGGAACCUGACAUGAAAGAAAUCAUAGAAGCCAAAAUACAAGAAGUAGCUCAACAAUUAGAUACAACGGAUUGCAACGGCGAUUCGGCCACAUAAGAUGCAUAAGAAAAGUCAUGAAUUUUGUGAAAAUACUUAUUUAUUGUUAUUGGAGAAAUAUUAUCCAAAAUAUCCCUGACAAUGACACAGGUAUUAUUUAUUUUAUAGUCUUGAUUAUUGUAUAAAACCAGCAAUAAAAAUGGUCAAUACACAACGUCAAUUCCAUAGAGCUUUUUUUCUGAAAUACCCGUAUUAUUAGUAGGUACUAUUUUAUUUACAUCACGUACUUCAAACAACUAAAGACACCUAAAGAUGAAUUAGUCGGAAAAAAUUAAAGUCCCCGAAGAUAAGAAAGUUGGAUUUAAAGGUGGGCUAAAUGGUUUUAUUAUUACUAUAAUUAUUGUCAUACGUACUACCUAGGUCCAAUUGUUCAAUAGUUGUACUUUUAAAUUAUUUGCGUGGAUCUAAUGUCAAGUAGGUAUCUGACUAAAAUUAAACCAUAAUUACACAGUUUUUAUUCUAAAAAUGGAAACUGACAUAGCAACACCACUUAAGCUUUAAAUUGUUUUAUCCAUGAAGACGCACCCCACCAAAUUUUGGUCGAGGGAAGCGCGAGGAAGCGAUUCUGAGCAAUCUGAGCGUCAUUUUUGUAGUGUACGUGUGCACUCAUGGAUGAUUUAGCGUGUACCGAUAACACUCGAACAUUAGCGGGAGACUGGUGGGGCGUCUUCGUGGAUGAAACGAUCUAUAUGUCGGACUUCACAGGCGUGAUCCUGGUUGGUUUCGGAGUGUCCUCAUUCUUCACGCUGAAGUCCAGCGUCUCCUUGUUGAUGUGGAAGAUGUUCUUGAUGACGUGUGCAAACUUCUUGUUCUGUCGAGGGCUGCCCUCGAUCACGAAUACUUUCUCCGUGGUUCUGUCC